AUUUUAUAAAGUGUUUUUCAGUAGAUAUAACUAUUGUUUUAGUGUUGAUGGAUCACCAUGGUCUCCAAAACUCGACGACAAAACUUGCAGUGAUAGUUUCAUAGAAUAUUUCAUUUAAAUCCAAAGUAUCAGGUGGAAGAAACAGUGACUCACAAAUGACGAUAAACCAGAUACCACAUCUGGCUUAACUGAUCUUUUAGAAGCUGGAGAUAGAGUUUCGA